rnacentral:rRNA from 1 species
UACGUAGGGGGCAAGCGUUGUCCGGAAUCAUUGGGCGUAAAGAGCGUGUAGGCGGCCUGGUAAGUCCGCUGUGAAAGUCCAGGGCUCAACCCUGGAAUGCCGGUGGAAACUGUCAGGCUCGAGUCCGGAAGAGGCGAGUGGAAUUCCUGGUGUAGCGGUGAAAUGCGCAGAUAUCAGGAGGAACACCAAUGGCGAAGGCAGCUCGCUGGGACGGUACUGACGCUGAGACGCGAAAGCGUGGGGAGCAAGCAGG